AUGCAGAGGUUCUGCUCCCUCAUCCAUCUCUCCCUCUUCUGGGCAGGAGUUAUGUCAGCCGUUGUGAUGGUGCCUCAAGAACAAGCCGUGACUGUGCCUGUGGGAGAGUCUACCACCCUCAGGUGCUCCAUGGAAGGAGAGGCAAUCACCAGCUACUACGUAAACUGGUACAGGAAGACCCAGAGUAACACAAUUACUUUCAUAUACCGAGAACAGAACAUCUAUGGCCCUGGUUUUGAGGACAGAUUCCAGGGCAAAGUUGAGGUUGACAGCAACCAGGCUGUACUCACAAUCCUUGCAGCAUCAGAGACAGAUGAAGGGUCUUAUUACUGUGCCGGUGACUACCACCCUGCUUCAUUAGGAAAAAGACCUGCACAGCUCUUCUUUGGAAGAGGGACUCAACUCAUCGUGGAACCAAAAAAUCAACCUCCUACCAAACCAUCUGUUUUUGUCAUGAAAAAUGGAACAAAUGUUGCUUGUCUGGUGAAGGACUUCUACCCCAAGGAUGUAACCAUAAGUCUCAAGUCAUCCAUGAAGAUAGUAGAAUUUGACCCUGCUAUUGUCGUCUCUCCCAGUGGAAAGUACAGUGCUGUUAAGCUUGGUCAGUAUCAAGAUUCAAAUUCAGUGACAUGUUCAGUUCAACACAACAGUGAAACUGUGCACUCCACUGACUUUGAGCCGAAGACAAAUUCUUCAGAUAAUCUAAAAGUAACAGAAGCUGAAAACACGAAGCAAACUUCAGAGAGCUGCCAUAAACCCAAAGUUCAUGCCGAGAAAGUGAAUAUGAUGUCCCUCACGGUACUGGGGCUACGAAUGCUGUUUGCCAAGAGCGUUGCUGUCAAUUUUCUCUUGACUGCCAAGUUAUUUUUCUUCUAAGGUUUCAGGCACUGUCCUGAGAGUACAAAGAAGACAUGGGCCCUGCCUUCAAGCAACUCACCGUGCAAGUGUUUUUGGAGGGAGGGAUAGGAAUGAGACCCCUAGCUUUUUCUGUAACAAUAUUUUACUGUCUUUUGCCUGCCAAUCUGCGUACAGAGAGUUUGAGAGCCCUGGACACUGAUUCUUUUGUGUGGGUCUUUGAUGUUGAAGGUGUUCUGCCUUUCUUCUCAGCCCCUGUCUCUGAUGCAUUUAUUAAACU